GACGAACGCUGGCGGCGUGCUUAACACAUGCAAGUCGAACGGAAAGGCCCUGCUUUUGUGGGGUGCUCGAGUGGCGAACGGGUGAGUAACACGUGAGUAACCUGCCCUUGACUUUGGGGUAACUUCAGGAAACUGGGGCUAAUACCGGAUAGGAGCUCCUGCUGCAUGGUGGGGGUUGGAAAGUUUCGGCGGUUGGGGAUGGACUCGCGGCUUAUCAGCUUGUUGGUGGGGUAGUGGCUUACCAAGGCUUUGACGGGUAGCCGGCCUGAGAGGGUGACCGGCCACAUUGGGACUGAGAUACGGCCCAGACUCCUACGGGAGGCGGCAGUGGGGAAUAUUGCACAAUGGGCGGAAGCCUGAUGCAGCAACGCCGCGUGCGGGAUGACGGCCUUCGGGUUGUAAACCGCUUUCGCCUGUGACGAAGCGUGAGUGACGGUAAUGGGUAAAGAAGCACCGGCUAACUACGUG
rnacentral:rRNA from 1 species